rnacentral:rRNA from 1 species
GAUGAACGCUAGCUACAGGCUUAACACAUGCAAGUCGAGGGACCGGCGCACGGGUGCGUAACACGUAUCUAACCUGCCCUGUAAUCGGUGCUAACCUUUCGAAAGAAACAUUAAUACCCGAUGUCAAGGAUGGGGAUGCGUUUCCUUAGGUUGUUGGUGCGGUAACGGCUCACCAAGCCUUCGAUGGAUAGGGGUUAUGAGAGGAAGGUCCACUGCAUUGGAAAGGGGACACGGCACAUACUCGUAGGAGAGGCAGGAGUGAGUAAUACUGGUGAAUAGGCGCGAGCCUGAACCAGCCAAGUAGCGUAAAGGAUGAAGGCUUAUUGGGCGUAAAUUUCUUUUAUAUAAGAAGAGGUAUUAUAUGAAUAAGGAUCGGCUAACUACGUGCCAGCAGCCGCGGUAAUAC